rnacentral:rRNA from 1 species
CCUACGGGUGGCAGCAGUUGGGAAUCUUGCACAAUGGGGUAAACCCUGAUGCAGCGACGCCUCGUGAGUGAAGAAGCGUUUCGGCGCGUAAAGCUCUUUCAGCGGGGAAGAAACACGGUUCGCGAGAGCCGCGGACGGUCCCCGACCAAGAAGCCCCGGCUAACUACGUGCCAGCAGCCGCGGUACUACGUAGGGGGCAAGCGUUAGCCGGAUUCACUGGGUGUAAAGGGAGCGUAGACGGCGAGACAAGUCUGGAGUGAAAGGCCGGGGCCGCACCCCGGGACUGCUUGGGAAACGGCCUGGCUGGAGUACAGGAGAGGUAAGUGGAAUUCCUAGUGUAGCGGUGAAAUGCGUAGAUAUUAGGAGGAACACCAGUGGCGAAGGCGGCUUACUGGACUGUAACUGACGUUGAGGCUCGAAAGCGUGGGGAGCAAACAGGAUUAGAUACCCCGGUAGUC